rnacentral:rRNA from 1 species
GGACCCGCACAAGUAGUGGAGCAUGUGGUUUAAUUCGAAGAUACGCGCAGAACCUUACCAACACUUGACAUGUUCGUCGCGACUCUAAGAGAUUAGAGUUUUCGGUUCGGCCGGACGAAACACAGGUGCUGCAUGGCUGUCGUCAGCUCGUGUCGUGAGAUGUUGGGUUAAGUCCCGCAACGAGCGCAACCCUCACUUUUAGUUGCCAUCAUUAAGUUGGGCACUCUGAAAGAACUGCCAGUGAUAAGCUGGAGGAAGGUGGGGAUGACGUCAAGUCCUCAUGGCCCUUACGUGUUGGGCUACACACGUGCUACAAUGGCAUUUACAAUAGGAAGCAAGAUGGCGACAUUUAGCAAAUCCUAAAAAAUGCCUCAGUUCGGAUUGUACUCUGCAACUCGAGUACAUGAAGCUGGAAUUACUAGUAAUCGC